AAAAAAAAAAAAAAAGAAUUCGAGAAAAGUGAGAGAAAAAAAGGAGUUUGUCGAGGAAAUGGAAAAAGUGUGUGAACGUUGAACUGAUAGAAGAAGAAAAGUUAUUGAAUGGAAUAUAAGUAGAAGAAAUUCAGGAGUGUAACAGAGUCAUGAGAAUUUUGCAUGAACAACAAACUUGGACUCGUUUCUAUUCUCAUGAACUUGAAUGACUGAAACAGAACAAACACUUCUUCUUCUUUCUUUUUGGUUGUUUCUCUUUUUAUCUCUAACAAGAUAAUGAGAUUUUUAUUUAUUUAUUUGGUUUCAAAAAUGAAAAAAAAUUCUUGAUUCGUACAAGAAAUGAGAUAGUUAUGAAGACAGCAAAGAGAUGGUUGGGAGAAGAAUUGAAUGAAAAAUUAAGAAGAAAGUGGGGUCCAAUACUGUUGAUGU